rnacentral:lncRNA from 1 species
UUACUUUUAAAUUGAUUAAAAAUGAUCAAAAGUUAUGAAAUAAACUAAAAAGUACACUCAUUCAAAAAAGAAUAGUAAAUUUAAUCCAUCAUUUUUUUAAAAGGUGAAUUUUUAUUAACCUCAACACUAUCAUGCCAUUUUGAGUCUCAAACAUAGAUUGCAAGAGACUCUCACGGCAUAAAUAGUUAGUGAGCAGCCUGUACAAUUUCCAAAAAGAAUAUGCUACUCAACAAGAUUUUGGUAGCAACUCAGGAUAAAGAAACUAACGUACCUUAAGUAGAUUGGUAAAUUUGAACCUAAUCUCAAAUUAUUCUAUGAAGUUUGUUUGUGAAAAUAUGGCAGCUAGCACAUACCCAAAUUAAAGUUGUAAAUAACAUAUACAUGUUCUAUAAUCAUGUUUUCCAACUAAUUGAUUUACAUAUUGUUUUGUAACUUUUUUUUUUGAAACAGGAAUUCUUUUACUAAGAACUUUUUUGGGAAUAAUUUGCUUGAUUGUGUUGGUUAGACAAAAAUUGAAAAGGAGGCAUUUGUCUGUGGAUGACGAUAUUGAGAAUUUUCUUCAGAGUCAAAACAAUUUAAUGCCUAUCAGAUAUUCUUACUCUGAAAUAAAAAGAAUGACUGAUGGCUUCAAGAAUAAACUAGGUCAAGGAGGAUAUGGUUCUGUGUUUAAAGGAAAACUUCGAAGUGGUCAACUUGUUGCGAUAAAAUUGUUAAACAACUCAAAAGCUAACGGCCAAGAUUUCAUCAAUGAAGUUGCAACUAUUGGAAGGAUUCAUCAUGUUAAUGUGGUAAGACUUAUUGGAUUUUGCGUGAAGGGAUCAAAACAAGCUCUUGUAUAUGACUUCAUGAAGAAUGGGUCCUUGGAUAAAAUUAUAUUUUCAGCUGAAAAUAACACUUUGAGUUGGCAAAAAAUGUUUGAGAUUGCUUUGGGAGUGGCUCGAGGUAUUGAAUAUUUGCAUAGAGGUUGUGAAAUGCAAAUUUUACAUUUUGAUAUCAAGCCACAUAACAUUCUUCUAGAUGAGAACUUUACUCCAAAAGUUUCAGAUUUUGGCCUCGCAAAGUUGUAUUCAGUGGAUAAUGAUAUUAUUUCUCUCACAGCAGCACGAGGUACAGUAGGAUAUAUGGCUCCUGAAUUGUUUUAUAAAAAUCUCGGAGGUAUCUCAUAUAAAGCCGAUGUUUAUAGUUUUGGAAUGAUGCUAAUGGAAAUUACUGGAAGAAGAAAAAAAUUUGAAUGCCUCUGCUGAACAAUCAAGUCAAAUUUAUUUUCCAUCAUGGAUUUAUGAUCGAUUAGAUGAAGGAGAUAUCAUGGAGCUUGGAGAUUUGACAGAAAAUGAAAACAAAAUUAUGAGGAAAAUGGUAAUAGUAGCCUUAUGGUGCAUACAGAUGAAGCCCACUGAUCGUCCUUCCAUGAGCAAAGUCUUGAAUAUGCUUGAAAGUGAAGUUGAGCUCCUUGAAAUGCCUCCCAAGCCUUCUUUCUCUGGAAAUGUCAACUAAAUAUAGUAAGAAUUCUCCCCGCACACGUGGCAAUCGGCCUUCCUCAGUUAUCUCGUGAUAUUUGUCAUUGGGACACCACUCAACAUUGUGAUCUUGCUAAAUCUGACAACUUCUUCUGUAUUUAGUUUUUUGAAUGGUACGUAGUUUUUGUUUCCACCUAGAUCUAGUAGGCAGUGUUUGUAUUUUCUCUACUACCUUGGUUUGUUUUGUUUCUGCUACUUCUCUAUUGCCCUGUAUGUGACCUCUGAUGGAAUAAAUCAUUUCCUCACUUGUAAAAAAAUUGCAAGAAAAUGUAAUUUUAUUUUUCCCUUAUUUUAUACUGUCAUCCCAAACUCGCAGCACAACAGACGCCACAUACCUGUAAGAUGUAAUCUUACAAACAUGCAAGGGUCCAAUACAUAUACCUUAAAACACUAACUGAAAGACACUAAAAUACCUGAAGAACAAAGUGAUUCAUAAUCGGUAGAAAUUCAAAAAUCAUAAUUCGACAAUAUUCAGAAUUAAGUCUCUAAAACUAUAAAGUUAACAUGUCAAGAUAAAACUCUGAAUACUAAUUUAAGAUAGUUUGAUGUUCAUAAUAUUUAAAUAAAUCCUAGACAACCUAAAUGCUAUUAGAUUAAAACAUCACUCCUUGAAAUUCUCACGUAGUUGACCAAAUCACAACCUAAAAAAAAAAUUGAAAGAAUGAGUGAGUCCAACUACUCGGUAAGUAACAAAUAUCUCACUUCGUACUACAAAAGCCCUCAAAUAUAUGACCAAAAAUGUUAUCGGAAUAUGGAGUUCCAAUGACCCAAAUUUGGAUUGUCAAAACAGUUGAAAACCAAGUUUCUAAUUAAUUUUAAAAAUUCAUAUUUUCUAAACCACAAAACUAAACUAGAUGCUACAAAAACCAUUGGAAAGAUCUUUUCAAGACCUUUCCAUUGGUAACCAUCAUGCCACCGAAAGGUCACCAGAAUAGUGCCGAAUUUGAAUAAAAGUUAAGAAAACAUAAAUAAUUUAGGGCUUUUGUGCCCAACUAUGGAAAUACAACCCUAAACAUACCUUAAUCAGAAAUCCCUUGAAUACUUUUCUCUUUUUUCUAUCUUUCUUCUUCUAUGGUGUUAAGCUUUUCUGACUACCUAUCGUUUGAGUCUGAUGAAAUAAACUGACAUGAGUUUUCUACCUUUUCUUUUAAACUUGUAAACUAACCUAACCUCCACUAUUUUUUUUUUAAACGUGGUUUAGUGAGUUGUGAUCAGGUAAAACAAAUUGACCUUAACCGCACUAACUUAAACAUGAUAAACAAAACUGACAUUAAUUAAACUUCUUUAUUUACUUAAAGACCCCUUUUUCUAUUUUUUAAUUAUUAAGACACUCAAGGUUGUAACUGUAAUUAAAUAAAAUACUAAAACAACAUUUAUUUAUUUAUUUUAUAAAACUAUAGCCUAAUAAAUCUAAAUGUUUUUAUAAUAUAUACUUUGUGAGGGGUAUUACAUCCUUCCCUCCUUAAAAAGGAGUUUAGUUCCUUAAACUCUUACCUUGGUCCUCAAAAAGGCAGGGAUACUUCUUUUUUAUAUUUUUUCUAAAUCCCAAGUCGCUCCUCAUUCUGUAUGAUUACUUCAUUAGAUCUUAACAUAAGGAAUAGUUCGCCUUCUUAGAACUUGCUUCUUUCUAUCCACAACACACAUAGGAUGCUCAUCAUAAGACAAAUCUUCUCUAAGUAUCAAAGGAGCUAACCACACCACAUGACUAGGAUCUGGAACAUAUUUUCUCAACAAAGAAACAUGAAACAUGUUAUGCGCUCUCGAUAAAGCAGGUGGAAGUGCCAACCUAUAAGCCACAUCACCAACCUUAUCCAAAAUCUCAAACGAACCCAUAUAACAAGAACUAAGUUUUCCUCGAAUCCUAAAUUGCAUUACUCCUCUAGUAGGUGAAACUAGCAAAAAGACAUGAUCUCCAACCUCAAAUUCUAUCUUCCUUGUUUUAUUGUUUGCAUAACUCUUCUAUCUACUUUGAGCCGUACGAAGAUGUUCUCUAACUAACUGAACCUUCUCAACUGCUUGUUGAAUAAGAUCUAGACCCAAUAAUUGUCUUUCACCCACAUCAUCCCAACAAAGAGGUGACCUGCACUUCUUACCAUACAAAGCUUUGAAUGAAGCCAUUUGAAUACUAGACUGAUAGCUAUUAUUAUAAGCAAAUUCCGUCCAUGACAAGUGUCGAUCCCAAAAACCUCCAAAAUCCAUGACACAAGCUCUCAACAUGUCCUUAAGAAUUUGAUUAAUUGUCUCGGACUGACCAUCUGUUUGAACAUGAAAAGUAGUACUAAAAUUAAGUCUAGUACCCAAAGAUUUAUGUAGACUCUCUCAAAAUUUCACCACAAAUCGAGAAUCUUGAUCAUAUACAAUGGACACUAGCACCCCAUGCAGUCUCACAAUCUGCUCCACAUAUAACUCCACUAACUUUUCCAAUGACAUUUCCGUACGAAUAGCCAAGAAGUGAGCAGACUUUGUUAAUCUAUCAACAAUCACCUAGAUGCCAUCAUUACCUUUUAGUGUUCUCGGCAACCAGAUAUAAAGUCCAUAGUAAUUCGUUCCCAUUUCCAUUCUAGAAUAAGAAAUGGUUGCAAUAACUCUACUGGCCUCUGAUGUUCAACCUUAAUUUGUUGACAUGUUAAACAUUUGGCUAAAAACUGUGCAAUCUCUCUCUUCAUAUUGUUCCACCAAAAAGUGUUCUUCAAAUCUCGAUACAUCUUGGUACCACCAAGAUGGAUUGUAUAAUUACUAUAAUGAGCUUUCAACAAAAUUUCUCUCUUCAAUUUUGCAUCAUUGGGAACACAAAUUCUAUCACCAAACCUCAAAGAGUCAUCAUCAUGAAUCCUAAAGUCUGGUUUCAAACCAGAAUUAACCCUAAGUUUAAUGUGCUGAAGUCGAAGAUCAUCUACUUGGGCUGUCUUAAUCCGGUGAAUUAAAGUUGGUUGUACUCAUAUGUUAGCCAAUAAUGCUCCAAAACCCUGUAUACAUACACCAAUAUCCAUCCUCCGUAAGUCCUCCAAUAUCUGUUUUUGGGAAGUAAUCAUUGUGGCCAUGUUCCCAAACGUCUUUCUACUUAGAGCAUCAGCAACUCUAUUUGCCUUACUUGGGUGAUAAUUGAUGGUCAAGUCAUAAUCCUUCAACAAUUCUAACCAUCUUCUUUGUCACAUAUUCAACUCCUUCUGCGUGAUAAGAUACUUUAAACUUUUAUUAUCUGUAAAGACCUCACAAGACUCACCAUUCAAAUAAUGUCUCCAAAUCUUUAAUGCGAAACCACUACUGCCAACUUUAAAUCAUGAGUAAGAUAAUUCUCAUCAUAAGGUUUCAAUUGCUUAGAAGCAUAAGCGAUCACCUUAUCAUCCUGCAUAAGAACACACCCAAGUCCCUUUUUGGAAUCAUCACUAUAAACAACAAAUCCCUUACCACUAAUAGGCCUGGUAUGCAUAGGAGCGAAUACUAAUCUUUUCUUUAUCUCCUCAAAGCUCUUUUCAUAAUCAUUUGUCCACUCAAAACAAAUCCCUUUCCAUAUCAAUUUGGUUAAAAGUAAGGCAAUACAAGAAAAAUCCUCUACAAAUUACCUACAGCAUCCUACUAAACCCAGAAAACUGUUAAUCUCAAAAACAUUAUGUGGUCUCUUUCAAUUCACCACUAUUUCAACUUUCUUUGAAUCCACUGAAAUCCCGUCUUUCAACACCACAUGCCCAAGGAAAGCAACACUAAAAAGUCAAAAUUCACAUUUCUUCAAUUUAGCAAAUAACUAUUUCUGCCUCAAAGUCUUCAAAACAACCCUUAGAUGCUCUUUAUGAUCUGCUGAGCUAGGGGAAUACACUAGAAUAUCAUCAAUAAAAAUAACCACAAAUUUAUCCAAAUAAGGUUUAAAAACCCUAUUCAUCAAGUCCAAAAAAGUAACUAGAGCAUUUGUCAACCCAAAAGGCAUAAUAAGGAACUCAUAAUGCCCAUAUCAGGUACGAAAAGUAGUUUUGGGAACAUCCUCAAUUCUCACCUUCAACUGGUGAUAACCAGAUAAAAGAUUAAUUUUGGAAAACACUUAAGUGCCCUUUAGUUGAUCAAAUAAAUCAUAUAUCCCAGGCAAAAGAUACCUAUUAUUCACGGUUGCCUUAUUUAACUCCCGAUAAUCAAAACACAACCUCAUACUCCCAUUUUUUUUCUUCACAAAUAACACUGGCGCUCCCCAAGGAGAUAUACUACAUCUAAUAAAGCCCUUAUCAAGAAGUUCUUGCAACUGCUCUUUCAACUCUUUUAAUUCUAUAAGAGCCAUUUUAUAAGGAGCUUUAGAAAUAAGGUCAGUUUUUGGAACCAAAUCAAUAGAGAAAUCAAUUUCUCUAUUAGGAGGUAAACUAAGUAGAUCUUUAGGAAAAAAUUAGGAAAUUCCCCCAUAAUAAGAACAUCUUCAAUCAUUAACUCCUUCAUUCUAGUGUCUAUAACAGUUGCCAAAAAUCUUUUGUAACCACUAGUAAGCAAUCACCUAGCUUUCAAAGCAAAGAUGACUCGCAAAGGAGUGUAAGAACCACUACCACGAAAAGAAAAAGGUGUUUCCCCGGGAAUCUGAAAGUCUACCCUUUUCCCUCGAUAAUCAACUUUAGCAAAAUUUGCAACUAACCAAUCCAUCCCCAGAAUUAUAUCAAAAUCUUACAUAUCUAAAACAUGAAGAUCUGUAAGCAAUUCUCUAUCUUCAAUCCUUACCACACACAUCUUAUAAAUCUGAUCAGAGAUAAUAUCACCUCUAACUAGAGUGUCUACGCAUAGUUCAUAAUCUAGAAGCAUACAAGGCAAAGCAAACUUUCGAAAAAAUGUAGCAAAUACAAAAGAACGAGAUGCAUUGGUAUCAAACAAUACAUGAGUAAAAGCUGAGGCAACUAGCAGUGUACUUGAGACAACGGUGUUGGAUGCCUCUACAUCCGAUUGAGUGAUAGCAUAAGCACGCCCCUGGGUGCAAGGUCUUCCCACUUUUUGAUGUUCAAAAGAAGGUGUUUGCGUAGUCUAAACAACAUGAGUGGGUUGAGUCCUUUGCGUUGCAGUUUCAAAAGUUCGAGAGUUUUGCGACCUCUGCACAGAUUGAGAUUCUUGAAGGACUAAAGGACAAUUAGCAAUACGAUGGCCCUAUUGUCUACAUUCAGCAGCUCGAUGUCCUCCACCACACACUGAACACCUAGGCUUUUGUGCCCAAACUAUGAAAAUACAACCCUAAACAUAACUUAAUCAGCAAUCCCUUGAAUAUUUUUCCCUUUUUUCUGUCUUUCUUCUUCCUUGGUGUUAAGCUCUUCUGACUGCCUAUCGUUUGAGUAUGAUGAAAUAAACUUGUAAACUAACCUAACUUUCACUAUUUUUUUUUAAACAUGAUUUAGUGAGUUGUUGUCAGGUAAGAUAUACUAACCUUAACCCCACUAACUUAAAUGUGAUAAAUAAAACUGACAUUAAUUAAACUUUUUUAUUUACUUAAAGACCCCUUCUUCUCUUUUUUAAUUAUUAAGGCACCAAAAGUUAAAACUGCAAUUAAAUAAAAUACUAAAAGAACAUCUACUUAUUCAAAAAUGAAUAGUAAAUUUGAUCCAUCAUGUUAAGUAGAUUGGUGGUAAAUUUGAACCUUUUCUCAAACUAUUCUAUGGAGUUUGUUUGUGAAAAUAUGGCAGCACAUGCCCAAAUUAAAUUAGUAAACAACAUACACAUAUUCUAUAAUCAUGUUUUUCAUCUUUGGGUUGGCAAAGAAUGUUUGAGAUUGCAUUGGGAGUGGUUCGAGGUAUUGAAUAUUUACACAGAGGUUGUGAAAUGCAAAUUUUACAUUUUGAUAUCAAGCCACAUAACAUUCUUCUAGAUGAGAACUUCAUCCCGAAAGUUUCAGAUUUUGGCCUUGCAAAGUUGUAUUCAAUGGAUGACAGUAUUGUCUCUCUUACAGCUGCAAGAGGUACAUUAGGAUAUAUGGCUCCUGAAUUGUUCUAUAAAAAUAUUGGAAGCAUUUCAUAUAAUGUUUAUAGUUUUGGAAUGAUGUUAAUGGAAAUUGUCGGAAGGAGAAAAAAUGUGAAUGUCUCUGCUGAACAUUCAUGUCAAAUUUAUUUUCCAUUUUGAAUUUAUGAUCGACUUGAGGAAGGAGAUAUCAUAGAACUUGGAGAUGUAACGGAAAAUGAAAACAAAAUUAUGAGGAAAAUGGUAAUAGUAGCCUUUUGGUGCAUACAGAUGAAGCCCACAGAUCGUCCUUCAAUAAGCAAAGUCUUGGAGAUGCUUGAAAGUGAAGUUGAGCUCCUUGAAAUGCCUCCCAAGCCUGCUUUCUCUGAAAGGUCAACCAAACCAUUAGUUGUAUUAUAAGUAAUAUUUAAUGUUGUACGUUAAGCAAUGUUUCACUACUUUAUCAUACUACUUUUAUAAUUUUUAUAGUAGAAACCUUAAGCUUGAGGCAUAAUCUUCUCUCUUCCAAAAAAAACCAAAAAAAAAAAACAAUAUAGAAUGGUGAGGAAGAAAGUAUAGCAAGGAAAAGAAGGAUACUGAGUUGGAGUUUUGAGCGUGCGAAGGUGUUAUUUUAGAAGAGUUGUAAUGGUAUCUCGUAAGUAUUUUGUCUAUAUAAAAAGUCUUUUGCUCAUAUAAAGAAUAAAGACUUUAAAUAGCAUUAUCGAUAUAUUAUUGCAAAUAAUUAACUUACGUUUUAAAAAAAUUAAAAAUAUUCCUCAACCAUGCUUGGAAUUAUAAUUUUUAUUUAAAAAAAUAAAUUAUUUGAGUUUUAUUUUAAAAAAAUAAAUUAUUUGAGUUUUCUCUCUUAAUUAAAAAGUCAAAUUUUAUCCAAUUCAAAAAUUUAUUUAAAAUGAUUUGAAAUCAAAUUCAACUUAAUUCAAAUUAAAUGACAAAAAUUAAAAAUUUCAAUAUGAAAAUACGUGAAUUUAAAAUGAUAUUAAUUUAAUCCGACACAAUUCAAUGUUAACAUGACUCGAAUCUAAAACGAACCGAGCUCAUAAUGAUCAAAAAUCCAAGAUUUAUUGGAUCCAAAACUUACAAAAACUUAAAUUUAUAACUCCCAAAAAUCCAAAUUAUAAUUAAAUAAUUUUAUUUAAUAAUUAAAUAAGUAAAUGAUUAAUUUUUAAGUGAAAAUUUUAAGACACACAAGCACCUUUUUCUCGUCAAUGCUUCUUCGUUACUCAGAAACAGCUCAUAAGAAUGGCAUGGUCAACUACUCUGCUUCACCUUCACUUCAAAUCCCCUCCGGUUUCUUCUCACCAAUUCCCACAUUCCCCCCCAAAAAUCCCCGAUCUUCCUAAACCCUAACCCUAUAAUUCCCAAACCCAAACCCCCCAAAAUGCAAUUCCUUCACAGGCCCAACGCGUUUCCAGGCCACGGCGCAGUAUCAAGAGCCAUGGACAUCAUCCAAUCCUCACCGCCCACGUGGGAAUCGGCCUUCCUUACCAACAUCCUGAUCUUCGUCGUCGGGACUGCACUUUUAGUAGCGGGGCUUUCUCUCUCCGAAAUUUUCGCUUCCUUCUUGCUUGGCACUCUCACUUGGCGAGCUUUCGGGUCUUCUGGAUUCCUCCUCAUUGCUUCUUACUUCGUUAUAGUGAGUCACUAAAAAGUCUAUGAAUUUUAUUUGAAUUAUGGGAUUUACGUUAAAAUUGGAAAUGGGUUCUGAUUUUCGCUCCCAUUUGGUAUAAAGUUUAUGCUCUGGAUGACAAGUUUCAUUGUUUGGUAUUUUGGCAAAGGAAAAAAAAUUUAGUUUAUGUCAAAAAGAUUUAACGUGAAGUAUUUAGUUAUUUAAGUGUGAUUUGUUUUUAUUUCAAGAAUUGGAUUACACUAGGUGAAAACAGGUCAAAACUAUAACCAAAACAUUUUUCCAAAAUUCUUUUUUAUUUUCAUUUGUUUUCUUCUUGGUGGGGGCAGGUGAAGGGAGAUUUUAUUUGCUUUUGACAUGUUUCUUAAGUAUAAAGUUGAAGUAGAAGAUAAACUGAAUAAAAAAAUAAAAAAAGUUAAAUUAGAUAGAGAGGGUGAAUAUUUACCUAUUAAUGAUAUUUGUGAAAAGAAAGAAAUAAUUUAUAAAAUUACUCUCUCAUAUUCUACUGAAUCAAAUAGUGUAGUUGAAAGGAAAACUAAAACAUUAAAAGAAAUGAUGAAUUAUAUGCUUAUUAGUUCUAAUGCACAUGAAAAUUUGUAGGGUGAAGUUAUAUUAUUUGCAUGUCAUAUUCAAAAUAGAAUUCACUGCAAGAAAACUGAUAAGACACCUUAUGAAUUGUGAAAAGUCUAUUCUUCUAACUUAAAAUAUUUAAAAGUAUGAGAGUGUUUAGCUAAUGUUAUGCUUCUUGAUUUUAAGAAAAGAAAAAUUGACUCUAAGAUGUCCGGUUGCAUGUUUAUUGGCUAUACCAAAUAUAGUGCUGCAUAUAAAUUUCUUGUACUAAAAAAUGAUGUUUUUGAUAAUAAUACAAUUAUUAAAACAAAAAAUGUUGAAUUUUUUUGACAUAUUUUUCUAUUGAGAACUGAUACAAUUUUUCUUCCAUCUUUUAGUGAAAAUGUUUUUUUAAAUGCAAAAUGAUGAUUUGAGAAGAAGUAAAAGACAAAAGAAAGAAAUUUCUUUUUGUAAUGAUUUUUACACUUAUCUUGUAGAUAAUGAUCUUUUAAAUUAUGCUAAUUCAAUUUCUUCUAAAGAAUGUCCAUUUUGAAAAGACGUUAUACAAAAUGAGAUUGAUUCUAUUUUACAAAAUCAAACCCGGGAAUUAAUUUAUUUACCACCUGAAGCUAAGCCAAUUGGUUGUAAAUGGAAUUUUUAAAAAAAAUUUAAUCUUGAUUAUUUUAUUGAUAAAUACAAAAUUAAAUUAGUUGCUAAGGGUUUUACCAAAAAAUAAAAUAUUGAGUAUUUUGAUACUUUUGCUCUAGUAACAAGAAUUUCAUCUAUUUGUAUUUUAAUUGCCUUAGCUUCGAUUUACAAACUUUUUGUUCAUCAAAUGAAUGUUAAAACAGUUUUUUUAAAUGAUGAUUUAGAAGAAGAAAUUUAUAUGACACAACUCGAGGGAUGUGUACUUCUUGGUCAAGAAAACAAAAUUUGUAAAUUAAUUAAAUCUCUAUAUACUUAAAACAAGCACCAAAAUAAUGGUAUGAGAAAUUUGAUUAAAUUCUUGUUAAUAAUAGAUUUUUUACUAUUGGAGUUGAUAAAUGUGUGUACACAAAAACUAUUGAUAACGAAUAUAUGAUUAUUAGCUUAUAUGUUGAUGAUAUGUUUAUUUGUGGUACAUGCAUUGAUGUGGUAAAUAAAACAAUAUGUUUCUUAACUUAUAAAUUUGAUAUGAAAGAUUUGGGAGAAACCAAUAUUAUUUUGGGUGUUAAAGUCAUAAGAUGUGAGAGUGGCCUAAUGUUAACACAAAAACAUUAUAUUGAGAGGUUACUUAAAAAGUUUAGACAUUUUAAUGUCACACUUGUGAAUACUCCUUAUAAUGUUAAUACCCAAUUAAAGAAAAAUAGAGAUGAUAGUAUGGCUCAACCUUAGUAUGCAUAGAUUUUUAAAAGUUUGAUGCAUUUGAUGAAUUAUACUUGACUUGGUAUAGCUUAUGUUAUGUGUAGACUGAGUAAAUAUACAUAAAGUCUCAAUCAAGAUCAUUGAACUGUUUUGAAUAGAGUAAUGAAAUAUUUGAAAUGUACCAUAAACUAUGAUAUUUUAUAUAAUAGAUUUUCCGUUGCAUUAGAAAGGUACAAUAAUGUUAACUUAAUCUCAUAUUCAGAUGAGACAAAAUUCAUGAGUGAUUAUGUAUUCACCAUUGGUGUGGAUGCUGUUACUUAGAAAUUAGUCAAAUAAAUAAUAAUUACUAAAUCUACAGUGGAAUCAGAAUUUAUAGUUUUAGAAUUAACUAGUAAUGAGGUUGAAUAGUUAAGAAACCUCUUAACAGAUAUUUCAUUAGAAAUGAAACCAACACCUUCUGCGUCUAUGUAUUGUGAUUGUCUAACGGCAAUAAACAUUGUGAAGAAUAAAACUUUCAAUGGUAAGAAUAGACACAUUUGUUUAAGAUAUGAUGUGGUAAAAUAAUUACUUAGAGAUGAAAUUAAUGUCCAUUAAUUAUACGAAGUCAUAUACCAAAAAAUAUAAAUUAUGAAACCGAUGAAUCCUUUUAGAACUAUUAUUUUGCAUUUCAAUAAGUCCAUGGUGGAAUUUUAAGACUGCACAAAUGAAUUCAUAGGAUUGUUUAAGUGAUUUUAUUUAUAUGUUAUUGCAGACAGAUUACAAAAAUUCCUUUCCUGUUAGUUUCGUUAUCAAUCAGUUCAUACGUUAUUUUCUUCAUUAAUUCUUGUUUGAGUGGAAAAUCAUCUCAGAGCUAUGAUUGGCUUGUGUUGAAGUUGUUGGAUUGAAUUAAUUAGUUGACUGGACUGACUUUUCAAACGAAGACGAGUGAGGGAGAAAGACCGCACCAUUAAAAGUUGACUGACUUUUCAGUUACCGCAUGAAACCGUACAACUCUCAGACGUGAGUCUGAAAAAUGUGCAAUUUUGCUAAUAUAUGCAUGUGAUAUUUUUGUCCAAAAUAUUAUCAAAACAAAUUGUAUAGAACUGUGAAAUCCGUAAAAGUUGUUUGCAAAAAGGUUUUUAACAGCACAAGUUAAAGAAAAAAGGUCAAAGGAAGAUUUGAUUUCAAUUACAGCCACAGAAAUAAUUAACAAAGCAAUAAAGAUAACAUUAUCCUAACUCUUAUUUAAUCUCUCUCGUUAAACUUUGUUAUACUUAAUUCUCCUAAAAAAAACUUUUUUAUACUUACAAAAAAUAAAUAUAAGAUAUGGAGAUUGAUCAAUUUUAUUUAGAAUUAUUAUUUUAUAUAUUUGCAAUGAAAUUUUGAAAUUCCAAAUUUCAUAACAUUAUUUAAGUCAUAUUAUAUAUCUACAUAUAUAUAUAUUAUGUUAAGGGGUAUAUUGAUCUCACUAAUGUGCAGAUAUACUUGGAUGAAUUACCCAUGAGUGCUAUGGUAGGCUUUGUGUUAAAUGUGUUUUCUGGUUUGGGUUUAAUUAGUUGUCUGACUUUUCAAAAGAAGACUUGGUUUUAACAAUAAAUAUAAGAGAACAUCAUAGUGCUUCUUCACAAACUAAUUAAGCCCUUAAUCUCCUUCUCUCCCACUGAAAUUUUAGGAUGCUAAGAGCAAAGCUUCCAUUAUUCGGCCUUCUGGCCCUUGCUUUAUCUCUAUUCCCUGAUGCAUGCAUCGCUAGAGGCAAACACAAGCACUGUGGCUCUUCUUUCUGUGGAAACAUUAAUAUCACUUCCCCUUUUCGAUUAAAAAGUCAGCCUCGAAGUUGUGGUUACAAUCGUUAUGAACUAGUAUGCGAGAAUAACCGCACCAUUUUCCCCAUGAAACAUGGGAAUUUCUAUGUCCAACACAUCUCUUAUAGUGACGAAACCAUUCAACUGUUAGACGUGAGUCUUGACAAGGAUAACUUUUUUAUACAAUGAAUUUAUAAGAUUGCUUGAAUGAUUUUAUUCCUAUUUGAGUGGAAAAUCAGCUAAGAGCUAUGAUUGGCUUGUGUUAAAGUGGUUGGCUUUAAUUUGUUGACCUGACUGACUUUUCGAACGAAGACAAGUGAGCAAGAAUAACCACACAUUUUCCCCAUGAAAUAUGAGAAUUUCCAUGUGGAAAAAGCCAUAUAAGUCUUAGAGGUGAGUCUUACCAAGCCACUCGGUAGGAGAUAGGGUAUACAUCUCCCUCAUCAUAAGUAUCCAUGCACGUCAAUAUAGGGUCAUGUGUAUCUCUUAAAUUGCAGGAUGAAGAUGAAUUCUUCGGUUUACAUUGAUGCUUUCCAUUGCACCAAUCGAUGUUCCUCUCCACGCUAUUUUGUUUCUUCAGUCAAAUUAUUGUCUGGUUAACAACUAAUGGAAAUGUAAGGACGGAAUAUUCACGUGAUAUGUUGCAUAAUUUAUACUAUAAUAUUUUAUCAUUGUUAACGGCACAAUUUGAUAAAAAGAUCAAAAUGAAAUCAUUGUAUUAUAUUUUGUGUAAAAUGCAUAAAAAAAAAGAAUUCUAAAUUUNNNNNNNNNNNNNNNNNNNNNNNNNNNNNNNNNNNNNNNNNNNNNNNNNNNNNNNNNNNNNNNNNNNNNNNNNNNNNNNNNNNNNNNNNNNNNNNNNNNNNNNNNNNNNNNNNNNNNNNNNNNNNNNNNNNNNNNNNNNNNNNNNNNNNNNNNNNNNNNNNNNNNNNNNNNNNNNNNNNNNNNNNNNUCUAUACUUAACAAAAGAUAAAUGUAAAAUAUAAAAUUGAUCAAUUUUGUUUAGAAUUAUUAUUUUAUAUAUUUUGAAAUUUUGAAAUUUCAAAAUAUAUAAUAUUAUUUAAGUCGUAUUAUAUAUUAUAUUAUUGAAGGCUUAUAUUAAUCUCCCUACUGUGCAGAUAUACUUGGAUGAAUUAUAAAGAUGUCUUUUCUAUCAGUUUCGCUACGUACCAAUUGGUUGGACACAUAUUUUAUUCUUUCUUAUUUGUUUGUGUUAAAAGUGUUUUGCGGUUUGGGUUUAAUUAGUUGACUGACUUUUCAGAAGAAGACUUGGUUUUAAUAAUAAAUAUAAGAGAACAUCACAGUACUUCUUCACAAACUAAUUAAGCCCUUAAUCUCCUCUCCCGCUGAAAUUUUAGGAUGCUAAGAGCAAAACUUCCAUUAUUUUGCCCCUUGGCUUUUGCUUUAUCUCUAUUCCCCGAUGCAUGCAUGGCUAGGGGCAAAAACAAGGACUGUGGCUCUUCUUUCUGUGGAGAAGUUACCAUCAAAAAGCCCUUUCAGUUAAAAAGCCAACCUCUCAGGUGUGGAAACCGUGGGCUUGAAGUCGAGUGUGACGACAAUAACCGCACCACUUUCCCCAUGAAAUAUGGGAAAUUCCUUGUCCAAGACAUCUCUUAUAAUAACGGCACAAUUCAUAUUAUAUUAUAUUUUUAUGUAUGUUUGUAUCUAUAGUAUUAGUUGUUUAAACUUUUUGGGUGCAAUUCUUUUUCAUAUAUAAUUAACAGCUUUUAUAAAACAGCAGUCUUUGUCACUAUAUAUGCUUGUAAAUCUCUCUUUAACUGCAAUUUUUUUGUCCAAAAUACUUCUAAUAAAAGAUUGUAUAGAGCAGCCAAAUUUGUAAAGUUCUAUCCUAAUUAAAACACUUUCAAUAACAUCUUAAAAAAAUUAAAUGCCAAAGUUAUUGUAGUGUGUUUUUCCCCUUUGGCUCUAGACUCUAGUUUAUUAAAUUUUCAAAGGAAGAUUUGCUUUCAUUUGCAGCCACAGAAUGAUAAGCAGAGCUACCAAGAUAAGAUUAUCUUAGUUCUUAUUUAAUCUUUCUUUUCAAACUUUUUUAUGCAUAUAAAAAAAUGUGAAAUAUGGACGGAUUAGUUCUUUUAGACUUAAUAGGUUGAUGGUGAAAUUUUAAGACUACACAACAUAUUUAUAGGAUUGUUUUUUAUUUAUAUUUUAUUGGGGGUUAAUAUUAGUCUCCCAACUUAGACGAAUAACAAAAAUUCCUUUGCUAUCAAUUUCGUUAUCAAUCAGUUGCAUACGUUAUUUUCUUCACUUAAUUUCUAUGUGGAAAAAGCCAUAUAAGUCUUAGAGGUGAGUCUUGACAAGGAUAACUGCUCCAUUCCUUAUAGUUCCUAUCCUUGCUACAGCCCUUGUGGAAAAAGCCUAUCACUUGGUAGAAGAUAUGGUAUACAUCUCCCUCGUCAUAUGUAUACAUGCACCUCAAUAUAGGGUCAUCUAUCUCUUAAAUUGCAGGAUGAAGAUGAACAUUUGGUUUACAUCGAUGCUUCUCAUUCCACCAAUCGGUGUUCCUCUACAUCUUCUUUUGUUUCUUCGGUAUUUUACAUUGUUAAUGGGACAAUUUGAUAAAAAGAUCAAAAUAAAAUUGUUUCAAAAUAUUAUACACAUGAAAAAAUAUUACGAAUUUAAUUUGAUUACUUUAUUGCGAAAGUUGCAAAAAUAAUUGUAGAAGCAUGUAUAAUGAUUAUGGGCAUUAUUUGAAUAGAUAUUUUUCUCCUUUUUCGCGUCCGACUGAUCGUAACUUAUCUUCAAAUUCAAAUAAAAAAGAAAAAAAAUUCAAGACUGAGAGUAUUUUAGAUAGUCAUUCAAGAGCUUGACUGAUUUCAUAUUGGUCUGUGCAACAAAUUUGCAAAUUUUUUAAAAGACAACUUUGAACUUUAGACAUGCAUAAUUUUUUUAAUACACAGGGAAAAUGUAUAUAUAAAGUACAAGGAAAGAUAUAUCUAUAUAAAUUAAAUUAAUUUUACACACCCUUUUAUAUUUUUUUAUACAAUUUAUAUUUUGUUAAUCCAAUCAUUGAUUUCAAAUUAUAUUCACAUAAAUCAUGCAUAACAGAUUUCAAAUUAAUUAAAACUGAUUAACUAUUUAUUUGAUAAAAAUAAAAUUUCAAUUGUUAAAUAUAUUGAAAAAAUAAACAUUUUACCAAAUUGACUUUGAAAUUACAUGAUAAGUACAAGUUGUUAAAUCUAACAAUAAAAUAUUAAUUUUUAAAGAAAUUAUAAAAAAUGUAAAACUAAUUAGUUUUACGCAAAAAAAUUAAUUUAUUGUUAUUUAGGCUUUUGUGUGCAAUUUUUUCAUAUUUAACAGUAGUUGAAAAUAUGCGGUCUUUACUAAUAUAUGCAUGUGAUAUUUUUGUCCAAAAAUUACCAAAAACAUAUAGAACUGCGAAAUCCGUAAUGUUGUAUGGAAAAGGAUUUUUAACAACACAAGCGAAAGAAAAAAUUUAAUAAAUACAAAGUUAAUAUAGUUUGUUAUUUCCACUUAUUCAAAGGAAGAUUUGAUUUCAAUUGCAGCCACAGGAAUAUUUAGCAAAGCAAUGAAGGUAACAUUAUCCUAACUCUUAUUUAAUCUUUCUGGUUAAACUUUUUUUUACAUAAUAUUCCCAAAAAAAAACUUUUUAUACUUAUAAAAAUUAAAUAUAAGAUAUAUGGAGAUUGAUCAAUUUUACUUAGAAUUAUUAUUUUAUAUAUUAGCAAUGGAAUUUUGAAAUUCCAAAUUUUAUAACAUUAUGUAAGUCACAUUGUAUUUAUUUAUUUAUUGAGGGGUUAUAUUAGUCUCCCUACCGUGCAGAUAUGCUUGGAUGAAUUAGAAAGAUUUCUUUUCUGUCAGUUUCGUAAUGUAUCAAUUGGUUGGACACAGAUUUUCUUCUUUCUUGUUUGUUUGUUUGCGUGGAAAAUCACCCAUGAUUACUAUGAUUGGCUUUGUGGUAAAAGUGUGUUGCGGUUUGGGUUUAAUUAGUUGACUGACUUUUCAAAAGAAGACUUGGUUCUAACAAUAAAUCUAGGAGAACAUCAUAGUGCUUCUUCACAAACUAAUUAAGCCCUUAAUCUCCUUCUCUCCCGCUGAAAUUUUAGGAUGCUAAGAGCAAAACUUCCAUUAUUCGGCCUUCUGGCCCUUGCUUUAUCUCUAUUCCCUGAUGCAUGCAUCGCUAGAGGCAAACACAAGCACUGUCGCUCUUCUUCCUGUGGAAACAUUAACAUCACUUACCCUUUUCGAUUAAAAAGCCAGCCUCAUAGGUGUGGUUACAAUGAGCUUGAACUAGUGUGUGAGAAUAACCGCACCAUUUUCCCCAUGAAAUAUGGUUAUGGGAAUUUCUAUGUCCAACACAUCUCUUAUAGUAACAAAACCAUUCAAAUGUUAGACGUGAGUCUUGACGAGGAUAACUGCUCCAUUCCUCAUAGUUCCUACCCUUUCUACGUGGAUGCACUAAAUAUAUAUUCCUAUCAAACUACCACUGAACCUAGCAUCAUGUAUCUCGUAAAUUGCCCGAUCCAGAUCAACAACUCUUGGGUUUAUAUUGAUGCUUUUCGUUGUACCAAUACCCCUUCCUCUCGACCUCCUUACUUUUACUUUUUGGAUGAAAAUACUGCAAUGUCUAAUUUCCAUGAGUCAUGCACAGUUGAAGCGCAGGUUCCAAUCAUGGUUGCCAAUAUCACUGGCCUCUCUACUUUUGAUAUUUACACAAAGCUGUUGGAGGGAUUCCAACUCUCAUGGUCUUCGUAUGAUGAUAUGUCAAGGUGAGACUCAGUUUUUAACGCGUGAGGAUUUUUAAGUAUUCCAAACUAUUUGGUGCAUUUUAGUUUUUGAAAAGUAUUUAUUAUUUUUAGUUUUUAAUUUUUAAAUUACCUUUUUAACUAUGUAUAUAAAUUUUUAUAAUUAGAAUCACAAAUUUUUAUUACUGUAGUAUCUUCUUCAGACUUUGAUUAUUUACUUUUACUCUAAAUUUGUUUAAUGUAAAAUUUAAACAGAAGCAUUUAAAAUAUUUUAAACAGUGAAAGUGCGCAUUUCAUGGCCUUAUUAAGGAUAACGGUUUUGAUGUGCUUUCUUGAAUAUUAAUUAUAGAUUGCUCUGGCUGUUGCUGCAUCCGCUGCAAAUAUAUAUUCAAAGCAUCAUGGCUUUGUUUCAACCAGAUUAUUUCUAUGCACCUUAUAAAGGUAUUCGUUCUUUUUUGAGUUCAUUAAUAAUUUGAUUCUUAUUGGAUUGGCCUUUACUUUCCUGUAUAGUUGACUUGACUCUUUACGUGCAUCAUAAGUAAACUGUUAAAUUUAAUAGUUGGUUUAUUAAAAUAUUAAUAGUAUACGAAGUUAUAAAAAAUUUAUAAAAAUUAAUUAAUUAAUUUUAUAGUGGUGUUGUGUGAGUAUCGCAUAUAUGUAUACGUAUGUAUCCAAGUGACUACAUAAAAGAAGAUCCAUCAUAAAUGAUUCAUAAAUAAUUUUGAACUACAUUAAUUGGGUAUUUUUUAACUAGGUAUUUUUAUGAUGUUGUGAUUUUUUUGGUCAAAAUAAAAAUUAUGUGGAAUAAGGUCUAAAUUUACCAUUCUAUAUAUUUCGGAUAAUGGAUCAAACUUGUCAGCAUCUUUGAACGGGUGUAAUUUUGCCAUUAUACUUUUAAAUUAGUUAAAAAUGUAAUCAAAAGUUAAGACUAAUGUUAAUUUUUGACCAUUUUUGAAGUAAAUUAAAAUGUAUAAUGGUAAAAAUUGCACUUGUUUAAAAAUAAAAUAAUAAAUUUGAUCCAUCACCUUAAAUAAACUAGUGUGUGUAAAUUUAAAUUUUAUCCCAAAUUAUGUUAUGAAUUUUGUUGGGGAAAAUAUGGCAGCACAUACCCAACUUAAAUUGGUAAAUGACAUAUGCAUAGCAUAUAAUCAUGUUGUCCAACUAAUUAAUAUAUAUAUUGUUAUGUAAUUUUUUUUUUGUGAAACAGGAAUUAUAUUGCUAAGAACACUUUUGGGGAUAAUUUGCUUGAUUAUAUUGGUUAUACGCAAAUUAAAAAGGAGGCAUUUGUCGAUGGAUGACAUGAUUGAGAAUUUUCUUCAGAGUCAAAACAAUUUAAUGCCUAUAAGAUAUUCUUAUUCUGAAAUAAAAAGAAUGACGGAAGGUUUCAAGAAUAAACUAGGACAAGGAGGAUAUGGCUCUGUGUUUAAAGGAAAACUUCGAAGUGGUCAAUUUGUUGCGGUAAAAUUGUUAAACAAAUCAAAAGCUAAUGGUCAAGAUUUCAUCAAUGAAGUUGCAACUAUUGGAAGAAUUCAUCAUGUUAAUGUAGUAAGACUCAUUGGAUUUUGUGUGAAGGGAUCGAAACAAGCUCUUGUAUAUGACUUCAUGCAAAAUGGAUCCUUAGAUAAAAUAAUAUUUUCAACUGAAAGUAACACUUUGAGUUGGCAAAAAAUGUUUGAGAUUACAUUGGGAGUGGCUCGAGGUAUUGAAUAUUUACAUAGAGGUUGUGAAAUGCAAAUUUUACAUUUUGAUAUUAAGCCACAUAACAUUCUUCUAGAUGAGAACUUCAUCCCGAAAGUUUCAGAUUUUGGCCUUGCAAAAUUGUAUUCGGUGGAUGAUAGUAUUGUCUCUCUCACGGCUGCAAGAGGUACAUUAGGAUAUAUGGCUCCUGAAUUGUUUUAUAAAAAUAUUGGAAGCAUCUCAUAUAAAGCUGAUGUUUAUAGUUUUGGAAUGAUGUUAAUGGAAAUUGUCGGAAGGAGAAAAAAUGUGAAUGUCUCUGCUGAACAUUCGAGUCAAAUUUAUUUUCCAUCAUGGAUUUAUGAUCGACUUGAAGAAGGAGAUAACAUAGAGCUUAGAGAUGUAACGGAGAAUGAAAACAAAAUUAUGAGGAAAAUGUUAAUAGUAGCCUUUUGGUGCAUACAGAUGAAGCCCACAGAUCGUCCUUCAAUGAGCAAAGUCUUGAAGAUGCUUGAAAGUGAAGUUGAGCUCCUUGAAAUGCCUCCCAAGCCUGCUUUCUCUUGAAAUGUCAACCAAAUCAUUUGGUGUUGUAUUAUAAGUAAUAUUUAAUAUUGUAUGUUAAGCAAUGUUUCACUACUUUAUUAUAUUACUUUUAUAAUUUUUAUAGUAGAAACCUUAAGCUUGAGGCAUAAUCUUCUCUCUUCCAAAAAAAAACAAAAGAAACAAAAACAAUAUAGAGUGGUGAUGAAGAUAGUAUAGCAAGGAAAAGAAGGAUACUGAGUUGGAGUUUUGAGCCUGCGAAGGUAUUAUUUUAGGAGAUUUGUAAUGGUAUCUUGUUAGUAUUUUGUUUAUAUAAAAAGUCUUUUGUUCAUACAAAGGGCAAAGACUUUAAAUAGCAUUGUCUAUACAAUCAUUAUGUUAAUGCAAAUAGUUAACCAAGUUUUUAAAAAAAUUAAAGAUUUUUCUAAACCAUGUUUGGAAUUAUAAAUUUUUUAUUUAAAAAAUGUAAAUUAUUUGAGUUUUCUCUCUUAAUUAAAAAAGUCAAAUGUUAUCGAAUUCAAAUAUUUAUUUAAAACGAUUCAAAAUCAAAUUCAAUUUAAUUCAAAUUAAAUGACAAAAAUUAAAAAUUUGAAUCCAAAAAUAUGUGAAUUUAAAAUGAUAUUAAUACAAUCUACCUUCAACAUAACUCGAAUCUAAAACGAACCGAGCUCAUAAUGAUCCAAAACCCAAGAUUUAUUUGAUCCAAAACUUAUAAAAACUUAUAUUUAUAACUCCAAAAAAUCCAAAUUAUAAUUAAAUAAAUUUAUUUAAUAGCUAAAUGAGUAAAUGAUUAUUUUUUAAGUGAAAAUUUUAAGACACACAAGCACCUUUUUCUCGUCAAUGCUUUUUCUUUGCACAGAAAAAGCGCAUAGGAAUGGCAUGGUCAACUACUCUGCUUCACCUUCACUUCAAAUUCCCUCCGGUUUCUUCUCAUCAAUUGCCACAUUCCCUCCCCAAAAAAUCCCCAAUCUUCCUAAACCCUAUCCCUAUAAUUCCCAAUUCCAAACACCCCAAAAUGCAAUUCCUUCACAGACCCAACGCGUUUCCAGGCCAAGGCGCAGUAUCAAAAGCCAUGGACAUCAUCCAAUCCUCUCUGCCCACGUGGCAAUCGGCCUUCCUCAGCAACCUCGUGAUCUUCGUUGUCGGAACCCCACUUUUAAUAGCGGGACUAUCUCUCUCCGGAAUUUGCGCUGCCUUCUUGCUUGGCACUCUCACUUGGCGCGCUUUUGGGUCUUCUGGGUUCCUCCUCGUUGCUUCUUACUUCGUUAUAGUGAGUCAUUACAAAGUCUAUGGAUUUUAUUUGAAUUAUAGGAUUUAAGUUAAAUUUAGAAAUGGGGUUCUGAUUUUUGUUCCCAUUUGGUAUAAAGUUUACGCUUUGGAGGACAAGUUUCAUUGUUUGGUAAAUAUGGCAAAGGAAAAGAAAUUUAGUUUAUGUCAAAAAGAUUUCAUGUGACGUAGUUUGUUAUUUAAGUGUGAUUUGUUUUUGUUUAAAGAAUUGGAUUACACUAGGUGAAAUCAGGUCAAAACCAUAACCAAAAUAUUUUUUCCAAAAUUUCUUUAUUUUCAUUUGUUUUCCUCUUGGUGGGGGGCAGGUGGAGGAGCCAGGGAGAAUUUAUGGGUUCUCGCAGUUUUAGACUAGUUUGAAACGAUAUAGUAUUGUUUUUCCUGCUUUCCUUUCUGAUAAUGGCUUGUUUUACUUGCAAAAUGAAUCUUGAAUUAGUUCCUCCUUCCCUCUUCUGAUUUUCCCUACCCAUAUUUCUAGUUGAAGAUAAUAGUUUCAAAUCAUGCUUGAAAACUAUAUUACAAAAUACUUGUAAUAUCAAACAAUUUUGUGUGGCAUUCGAGUUUCUAAUUUGAAUGGAGAAAUAAUUGGGAUGGAAGUGGUAUUAAAUUUAGAGGAAAGAAACAAGAAUGCCUUUUGCAACAUUACAAAGAAAAGAAAAGAAAACCUAGUAUAAAACUUCGGAAGAUGCUUGAUUAUAAGGUGCUGGGCUUUUGAGGACCUGAGACUUCAUAAUACUUUAUAAUUCUCUAGAUCUUCAGGCAAUCUUACAGCUCUUUGUCAUGCCUCUAAAACAAAUGCGGUAAAACCAUGCUCAAUUGUUCAAAUUGUUAUGCUCAAUUGAGAACUCCUGACCUGUUAUGUGUGUGUGGAGAUGAUAACACCAAUGAAUGGCCUUGUUAUACGGAUGACCGCUCAUGAUAAUUGCUACUUCAAAAAUUAUUGGCUUAGAUUUUGCUGCUGUGUUUUGAAACUUGUUGGCAUGCCUCACGAAUGCUGCGAAAUGUGCAGAAGGUUUCUGAGAUCUUGCUGCCAUCUAAGAAGAAAGAAUAGGUGAAAUUGUACAGGUACUAUGAAUAUGAUGUAAUGUUUAGCUUUUUUAUAGGGACUUCCUUUUUGUAUAGUGAACUUGGUUGCAUUGGAAUGAGUCUGUUCUCUGGGAAGAAUCACUGUUCUGAAAUUUGUUAAGUCUGAUCACAAUUGCAACCAGGAGCGGCAUGCCUUGCUUUUCUUCUCAUAGGGCAUGAGGGUAUCCCAUCAGGGUUCUUUUUGUGAACCCCUCUUAUGAAAUAACAUCUUCUAUGCCUUUCCAAAAAAAAAAAAGUAACAAUCACAUGGCAUAAUUUUUUCUUACAAUAUGAGAGUACUACAUCAGAGUUUCUUAAUGCACUAAGAAAAGUUAGAGAUAAGGUCUAAGAAAAUAUCAAUUUCAAGAAGAAACAAAUAACACUAGAAUCAUAUUUUACAAAAAUAUCAUAAUUGAGUCAUGUAUAUAAAUAAUUUUGAUGUAUGAGGAAAUUAUUAAUUUAUAUAUCAAGUGAGAUCUAUGUGUUUUUUUUCAAAAUGUAUUAUCUUAUUAAUUUAACAAAUUAUUAAUUUAUCAUGUUGAUCUCAAAUCAGGACCAACCAAAAUUAAUAUUUAUUCAAAAUUAUUAAUUUAUCAAGUAUUAUUUAUAGAAGAUUUGUUGUACUUCUUUGUAAUUCACUCUAAAUAAAAGGGUAUGUUGAAACAAGCGGAAUUUAGAUCCCUUAUGGUUCUUGCUACAUUUAAGUACUAUUAAUGUCAUUUAUGCUGGUUAUAAAGAUCUGACAUUUUAUUUAGAAACAAAAUUUGUAGAGUGUCAAGCUUUAAUAGCUUUUUUUUUUUGUUGCUUUUUAAUGUUUAUAUUCGUUGCUAUAUACUAUUUUUUUCCCUAUCAAACCAUUCUUUCAUGCUUACAAAUUUAAAUUUGUGGUGUGCAAAAAUUGUUGGUGUAUUUUCAAAAAUCAAAGGUUAUGUCACAUAAUCAAAAGCUAUCUUAGCUCAAAGGUUUGUCACAUAAAGUGACAUAGUGUGACUAUUGGAUUGUAGACAGGUUAUNUUGGUGUAUUUUCAAAAUCAAAUGUUAUGUCACAUAAUAAAAAGCUAUUUUAGCUCAAAGGUUGUCACAUAAAGUGACAUAGUGUGACUAUUGGAUUGUAGACAGGUUAUUGUUUCAUUAGAUAUGAAAAGUUAUUGUUUCAAAUUAUAACUCAAAGAUUAUGAUUUAUGGAAUGAAUAGUUGUCCUUUCAUUAGAUGAUUAUUGAAACAAUACAUUUAUCUUAAAGUUGUGUCUAGCAAAAUGUAAAGAUGUCUUUUAGACAAAAUGGUGUCUUAAUAAAAGGGUUGUGUCCUUGAAGAAGAGACACUUGCAAGCCUAUGUAAAGGGCUUGUUGCCAACCAUUUUUACACAUCAAAUCAAAAACAAAACAAGAACAGAAAAUCAAGAGUAAGAAAGUGUUGUGUUCUAUUAACAUAAACACUUAAGUUCCCAUCAACUACAAAAGCAUCAAAAUUUCUUAUAAUCUACUUGUUGUAGAAAGUAAGCUCUAAAGCCAAACAACUUUGCAAACCCUUAGAUAUAUCUAGUGGUCUACUCUCGUAAAGUGCAAGACAAAGUUAAACGUUAGCUUCAUUGUAUCCUUAAAACUAUUCGCAUUAUUUCUCUUUGCAUACUGAGUGGUGGGGAUGAAAUAAGUUUUAAAAAUAAUGUCUAUUGAAAAGCUCGCCUUAAAAUCAAUUUUGUUGGUUCUUAAAUUUCAUCUAAACCUCAUUUGCACCAACAAAAAUGAACAGGUACCUACUUUACUUUAUUAUUCUACUUUUAUUAUAUAAUUUUUAUAGUCUCCUUUUUCAUCUUAUAUACGGAAUCAGAUCCAUAUAGAAACCUUAAGCUUGAGGCAUAAGCUUCUCUCUUAUGAAAAUAAAAUAAAAUAAAAUAAAAUAAAAAUCAAGAGCAGUAUAUAUACCAUUGUGAAUGAAUAAAGUAUAAAAUCAUAGUGCCUUUUGAGAUACAAAACAUUGUGAAUGCGACAAGAAGUAUUAGUUGUAAUGUGUUAAUGGUCAUUUUUAAAUCAAAUUAAAAAUGUUACUAUUAGCAAUAUCAAGAAUUGCCAAGGAGAAAUUCAUUGAUAAAAUGACAAAUACCCGAAUUCUCUUCAUUGGCAACUUUACUAAAAAUCACUUUCAACGAAAAAAAAUUAGUAAAAGAUCUUCCAUAUUAUCUCUAUAUAUAGUAUAAUAUCAAAAUUUAGUAUUCUAAAAAUUUUAUUUUAUGCUGUUUUAGUACUAACAUAUUUUAAACAAUAUCAUUGUUUAUAUUAUUAUUACACGGACACUACUUACAUAUAAUAUAUAUAUAUAUAUAUAAAAGAUAAUAGCAUUGUUAGCUUUAUUAGAAUGAAUAAUUGAUUUUUUUUAAAAAUAGAAUGAAUAAUCUAACGAGAUGAAUUGGAUUUUAAAAACUUUUUUUGACAAAAUAAAAUCUAAAAAAAAAACACAUCAAAUAAUAAAAUCAAAACCAUUAAAUAAAUAUUUAACUGAAAAUAAAUGUAAUAAAAAUAAAUAGUAUAGGGUAAAAAUAUUUGCAAGAACCAUUUAUAAAGGUUCAAUCUUGUCUCUUGGUAUUUAUGUCACAAGUCUACUUUCUAAUCCAAAAGACAUGCAUAUUAAGUAAAGAUAGACAUUUAUUUAUAAAUCCAAGACUCAACUCAUCUCUUAUUAAUGUAAGAUCUAUCACAUUCUACCUCACCUAAUUGUUCAAUACGUUCGUUGCAUCGGCUCCUUUACUCAUAGAGGAGAGGGACCGUAUCUUGAUCUAAGUCUACCUCGAACCUGAUAUCUUUUAUAAAAGUUUCAUACUAGUUAAGAGUUAAGUUUGCUCUAAUACCACUAAUCACGAGUUCACAUUUCUAAUCCAAAAAAUAUACAUAUUAGAUAGAGAGAGGCCCUUAUUUGUAAAUCAAGACCCACCCAUAUGACACUUACAUUCUCUCUCUUAGUGUAGUAAAGAGUUCAAUACACUACUUAAUUCAACCAAUACAAAUACUAUUUUCUUGCGUAUCCAAAACAUGCAAAAAAUGCUCUACUUCCCUAUGUGAUACCUCAGAUGAAAUAAAUUAUUUCCUCAUCUUUAAAAGAAAAUACAAUAAUUGUAAAUUUUAUUUUUCUCCUAUUUUAUGUAACAGCCUCAACUUUGACUAAGGUUAUAAAUUACUUGUGUUGAACCAUUUGAUAACUUGCCAUGAGAUUUAAACAUAUGUAUUAAAUAUAUGAACAAAUGACAAUGUGUUUAAGGAUCUUGAAUGAUAAACUAUUAGGGUAAAAUACCCUUACCCCUCUAAGUUUUGAUUGAAAUUACAUGGAGGUCCAUUAGUUUUCAAAAUAGACACUCCGCCCCAAAAAAAUAUUUUUCACUGGACAUUUAGGUCCAGUUGUUAGUCAACCAUUAGUGUUUCCGUCAAUUUGAUGAUGUGAUAAGGGUAAAAACAUAAUUUCACCAUUGAUUAAUUUUUAAAAUUACUAUUAUAUAAUUUUAUUAAUUUUUUAAUUAAUUAAAAUAAAAAAGCUCCUCAAGGAGCAUUAAAGCUCCCUGGGAAGCACCAAUCGGGUGCUCCCCUCCCUUGAGGAGCACGAUGCUCUCUUUUUUAAAAUUUUUUUAAACAUAUAAUAUAAUUUUUAAAAUUUAUAUAAAAAAAAGAAAAGACAUUUUAGUCUUUUCCUAAUCUCUAUUAACGGUAUUUUCAUUUUUAGGACAAAGUGUCCAUUUCAAAAACUAAUAGACCUGCUUAAAAUUUGAACUAAAACUUAAAAGGUAGGGGUAUUUUACCCUAAAAUAUUAUGUUUUUGAUUAGAUUUUAGACCUUAAGCUAUGUGUUGAUAUGUUUUGACACUGAAUAUUGGUUAAUGUGGUGCAUACUAGUUGCAUUAAGAUGAAUAUUGAAAUAACAAAUCGUUUUGGAAGUCCAAAUUUGGAGUUAGGUAGUUUGAAGUGUUGAAAGUUUGCCUUUAGGAGAAAAUGUAUUGAUAAAUUCCUUGAUCUAUCAAUACAUUCAUGGCAGAAUGCCUUGGCAAAGCUUUCUAUCAAUACAUUCUAGAAUGUUUCGAUAGAUUUGGGCCAGGAGGCAUUCUAUAUGAAAACUCUCGAACAUUACAAGAACGUAUUGAUAGAUUUAAAAAGAUGGAUAUUUUGUAAAAAAGGUAUUUAUAGAUUUUCUUGAUCGAUCGAUACAUUUCAAGCAUAAAGCAUUCUUUUAAAUUUACUUCAAUAUGUUGGUACAUGUAUCGAUAGAUCUGAUGAAAAUUCGUGAAAAUGUAUCAAUGCAUGAUUGUAAGUCAGCAAAAAUAAAAGAGACUUUGGGCAUUCCACCCAUUUGAAAACACAAGGAAACAAAAGCUUUCCCUCCUUGCCUUUGAAACCCUAAAACCCCCUAGUAGAUUGGAACUAAUUUGGAGUACUUGGAAGCUUGGAAAUUCAUACUUAAGGUAAGAUCAAGCUUCCUAACAUUUUGAAUUACAUUUUAAUCGGUUCAAAAAUGAGAAUUUGACUAUGGUUUCAUCUCAAUUAUCUUCUCCUUGAGUUGUUGGGAUUUUGGAGUCUUAAGGGCUUAGAAUAGCUGCCAAGGUGAGGAAACCUAACUGUUUUGAACAUUGGAAACAAUGAAACCUAUGAUUUGGAUUGGUAGUUGGAUUUAGAAGCUCAGUUAGGCUUAGAAAAUCUGUGCAUGCUUUGAAAAAAGCUAAAGGUCUAGAAUUUAUGGAUUUGUUAGGUGAAGUGGGAACUUAGAGCUGUUGAUGAACUGAAAUUCUAUGUGGAAUGAUGGACGCAGUGUUUAGCUGAGUGUGAUGUCUUGGCUUCUUCUUGGAAGAAUGUUGCAGCACUAAAACUUUACUAUUUAGCAAUGUGAGUUACGUUAGAGAUAUUCUAGGUCAGUGGGGCAUUUUAUCUAGAAAUUAAGAUUUGAUGUAUGUAUGCACAAAUGUAUGCAUGUGCACUGCCAUGAAACAUGAUUGGUUGAUAAAAUGCUUAGAUGAACUAUGCAUAGGCCGAUGGGUUGAUUGAGCUCUAUUAUAGCUAUGUAUGUUAAUAAUAAAAACCUGUUUGAUAUUGGGUGAGCCAUGUGGUGGUGAUUGAGCUUGACUGUCUUAGUAUUCGCGACUAAAAAGUCUAUUGACCAUGCCUCUGCGCUUGUAUAAAACUUAUAACUUGAUACCUUUUUCUGUGGUAGCGUAUGAUUAUUGCUAAUUCUACGAAAUAAUGUUAUUAGUGAACUAUGGAAAAUCUGAAUUAUGAAAGUUGAUUGAGUUGCAUUCGUAAUUAUGCAUGUAUGAUGCCAAAUGGCUAUGUUAAUGACUUUUGCACAUGUAAUGGCGACACAAUUCCUAAUGGUAAUUGGUUUCGUCUUACGAGUGCUUUCUGGACGAUGAUAUGGUCUAGUUAGAAGGUGUCAUAGUCCCUGUGGUCUUGCUUACCAUUAGCAGUUUAGGCGUUGGACGUGUUUUGUUUACUUGGGAAGACCCUUCUCUUGUUACCAUCUUGAUGAUAACACAAUUUAAUUAGUUGACUUGACUGUCUUUUCAAUCCAAGACAAGUGAGCGAGAAAAACUGCACCAUUGCUCCAUGAAACCUUACAACUCUUAGACGUGAGUCUUGACCUCAUCGAUAGUUCCUAUCCUUGCUACACUCCUUGUGGAAAAAGCCUACCACUCGGCAGAAGAUAUGGUAUGCAUCUCCCUCAUCAUACAUGCACCUUAACAUAGGGUCAUGUAUCUCUUAAAUUGUAGGAUGAAGAUGAAGUCUUCGGUUUACAUUGAUGCUUUCUCAUUGCACCAAUCGAUGUUCCUCUCCACAUUAUUUCAUUCUUCAGUCAAAUUAUUCAUUGUUAACAACUAACGGAAAUGUAAGUGUGGAUUAUUCACGUGACAUGUUAAAUAAUUUUUACCAUGAUAUUUUAUUACUGUUAACAGUACAAUCUGAUAAAAAGAAUAAAAUGAAACCAUUUUAAAAUAUUAUGUGUAAAAUAUAUGAAAAAAGAUUAUAGAUUUAAUUUGAUUACAUUGCUGCCGGACUUACCAAAAUAAUUGUAGAAGCAUGUCUAAUGAUUAUAGGCAUAGCUCUUCAAAGAAAAAUACUGUUUUAUACUUAACAAAAAGAUAAAUGUAAAAUAUAAAAUUGAUCAAUUUUGUUUAGAAUUAUUAUUUUAUAUAUUUUGAAAUUUUGAAAUUUCAAAAUAUAUAAUAUUAUUUAAGUCGUAUUAUAUAUUAUAUAAUUGAAGGGUUAUAUUAAUCGCCUUACUGUGCAGAUAUACUUGGAUGAAUUAUAAAGAUUUCUUUUCUAUUAGUUUCGCUACGUAUCAAUUGGUUGGACACAUUUUAUAAUAAAUAUAAGAGACCAUCAUAGUGCUUCUUCACAAACUAGGACCUUAAUCUCCUUCUCUCCCGCUGAAAUUUUAGGAUGCCAAGAGCAAAACUUCCAUUAUUUUGCCUCUUGGCUUUUGCUUUAUCUCUAUUCCCCGACUGAGGCUCUUCUAUCUGUGGAAAUGUUACCAUCAAAAAGCCCUUUAAGUUAAAAAGCCAACCUCUCAGGUGUGGAAACCGUGAGCUAGUAGUCGAGUGUGACGAUAAUAACCACACCAUUUUCCCCAUGAAAUAUGGGAAAUUCCUUGUCCAAGACAUCUCUUAUAAUAACGGUACAAUUCAACUUUUAGACGAGAGUCUUGGCAAUGAUAACUGCUCCAUUCCUCAUAGGUCCUAUCCUUUGUACAUCCCUUUUGCGAAAAAACAACGUCUCUAUGAAGAUACCACUGAAUUUAGCAUCAUGUAUCUCGUAAAGUGCACGAUGCAGAUCAACUACUCUCGGGUUUAUAUCGAUGCUUUUCGUUGCACCAAUACUCCUUCCUCUCUACCUCCUUACUUGUAUUUUUUGGAUAAAAAAACAGCAAAGUCUGAUUUCCAUGAGUCAUGCAGAAUUGAAGCCCAGGUUCCAAUCAUGGUUGCCAGUAUCACUGGCCUCUCUACUUCUGAUAUUUACACAAAACUGUUGACGGGGUUCCGACUCUCAUGGUGGGAUUAUGCUUAUCAGUUUGGCUGGCUGCGGUGGGACUCAAUUGUUAACGUGUGAGGAUCUUUAAGUAUUCCAAAAUAUUUGGUGCUGUUUAGUUUUUGGAAAUGUUAACUAUUUUUAUUAUAAAUAAACAAAUAAGAUAAAAAUUUUAGUCUUUAUUUCUUUUUAAAAAGUUGACAACAUUUUUAAAUUACUAUUUUAACUAUGUAUAUUAAUUUGUUAUCUAAAAUUUAAACUCGAUAUUUUUAAAGAAUUACAGACUUUAAUUCUAUUAAUGUAGUGUCUACUUCAGACUUCAAUUAUUUCCUUUAAAUAUGUUUAGUGUAAAAUUUAAAGAUAAGGAUUUAAAGCAUUUUUAACAGUAAAAGUGUGCAUUCCAUUUAACUUAUUAAGGAUUAGCGGUUUUGAUGUUCUUUCUUGAAUAUUAAUUAUAGAUUGCUAUGGGUUUUAAAAAAAAAAGGAAGUAUAGAUUGCUAUCCUUGGUCAACCUUUUGCUGGCUCCGCUGUUUAUAUUUAUUGAAAGCAACGCGGCUCUUCUGCUAGGCAUCCCAACAGAGGAUUCAUUGGUAGAUAACAAAGGUGUUCUUUCUUUUCUGAGUUUGUUACUAUUUUGAUUAUUAUUGGAUUUACCUUUACUUUCCUAGGAUCUAUUAACACUUAGUUCUCGAAUCGGUAAAAUCUUAGCAUGAAUCCAGAUUUAUAUUUAUAUAUCAUUAAUUUAACAAUUGUAUUUCGUAAUCUAUUUACUUAUAUCAUGCAUGAUAAAUUUUAAGUUAAUUGAAAAUAUUUAAUUAUUUAAAUGAGAACAUUAAAAUUUUGACCAUUAAAUAUAUAUUAAAAAACCAAUAUUCUUGAGCAAUACGAUAUGGAUUAUCACAUUGAUUUGAAAUUUUAAAUGUAUGAUGAGUACGAAUAGUGUAUGAAAUUAUAAAAAGGUGUAAAACUUAAUUAAUUUUUAACUUGAGCCCUCAAAUUUAUAUAGUUUGUAUGAGUAUUGCAUAUAAAGUAUAUGUAUGUACAAAGAGAUUCCAAUAAAGGAUAAAAUUAUUUAAUAAGAGACGAUAUACUAUAAAUAAUUCAUGAAUAAUAUUGAACUACAUUAAUUGGGUUUUUUUCAGUUAGGUAUUUCUAUGUUGUUACGAUUUUUUUGGUCAAAAUAAAAAUUUUGUCCAAGUUUAUCAUAUUACUUGAAUGAGUACAAUUUUGUCAAUAUACUUUUAAAUUUGUUAAAAGAGAUCAAAAGUUACAAAAUGAACUAAAAUGUACAAUGAUAAAUAUUACACUCGUUAAAAAAAUAAAUAGUAAAUUUGAUCCAUCACCUUAAGUCUAGUGGUGAUAAAUUUAAACCUUAUCUCAAAUUAUUUUAUGAAGUUUGUUUGUGAAAUAUGGCAACAUAUACACAAAUUAAGUUAGUAACUAGCAUGUACAUAUUCUAUAAUCUUGUUGUCCAACUAAUUGGUUUAUAUAUAUGUUUUGUACUCUCUUUUUUUUUUUAUGAGAAACAGGAAUUAUAUUGUUAAGAACUUUUUUGGAGAUAACUUGCUUGAUUGUAUUUGUUAUACACAAAUUAAAAAUGUGGCAUUUGUCUAUGGAUGACAAGAUUGAGAAUUUUCUUCAGAGUCAAAACAAUUUAAUGCCUAUAAGAGACUCUUAUUCUGAAAUAAAAAGAAUAACAGAUGGCUUCAACAAUAAAUUAGGUCAAGGAGGAUAUGGCUCUAUAUUUAAAGGAAAACUUCGAAGUGAUCAACUUGUUGCAAUAAAAUUGUUAAACAAAUCAAAAGCUAACACCCAAGAUUUCACCAAUGAAGUUGCAACUAUUGGAAGGAUUCAUCAUGUUAAUGUGGUAAGACUUAUUGGAUUUUACGUGAAGGGAUCAAAACAAGCUCUUGUAUAUGACUUCAUGAAGAAUGGGUCCUUGGAUAAAAUUAUAUUUUCAACUGAAAAUAACACUUUGAGUUGAGAAAAAAUGUUUGAGAUUGCAUUGGGAGUGGCUCAAGGUAAUGACUAUUUACAUAAAGGCUGUGAAAUGCAAAUUUUUCACUUUGAUAUCAAGCCACAUAACAUUCUUCUAGAUGAGAAUUUUACUCCAAAAGUUUCAGAUUUUGGCCUCGCAAAUUUGUAUUCAGUGGAUGAUGAUAUUAUUUCUCUCACAGCAGCACGAGGUACGCUAGGAUAUAUGGCUUCUGAAUUGUUUUACAAAAAUAUCAGAGGUAUAUCAUAUAAAGCUGAUGUUUAUAGUUUUGGAAUGAUGAUAAUGGAAAUUAUCGGAAGGAGAAAAAAUUUGAAUGCCUCUGCUGAACAUUCAAGUCAAAUUUAUUUUUCAUCAUAGAUUUUUGAUCAAUUAGAUGAAGGAGAUACCAUGGAGCUUGGAGAUGUGACAGAAAUUGAAAACAAAAUUAUGAGGAAAAUGGUAAUAGUAACCUUAUGGUGCAUACAGAUGAAGCCCACAGAUCGUCCUUCAAUGAGCAAAGUCUUGAAGAUGCUUGAAAGUGAAGUUGAGCUCCUUGAAAUGCCUCCCAAGCCUUCUUUCUCCGGAAAUAUCAACUAAAGAUAGUAAAAAUUCUCCCUGCACACGUGGCAAUCGGCCUUCCUCAGCUACCUCGUGAUUUUCGUCGUUGGGACACCACUCAACAUCGUGAUCUUGCUAAAUCUGAUGCCCUUAAGUCGAUUACUUUUUCUGUAUUUAGUUUUUUGAGUGGUACGUAGUUUUUGUUUCCACCGAGAUCUAGCAGGCAGUGUUUGUAUUCUCUUUACCACCUUGGUUUGUUUUGUUUCUGCUACUUCUCUAUUUCCCUGUAUGCGACCUUUGAUGAAAUAAAUCAUUUCCUCACUUAUAAAAAAAUUGCAAGAAAAUGUAAAUUUUUUCCCUUAUUUUAUAAAAAGAAAAUGUGUUAUAUCUUAUAUUAUAUUUUUAUGUACCUAUGUAUCUAUAGUAUUAGUUGUUUAAACUUUUUGGGUGUAAUUCAUUUUCAUAGAUAAUUAACAGCUUUUAUAAAAGUGCAGUCUUUGUCACUAUAUAUGCAUGUAAAUCUCUCUUUAACUGCAAUUGUUUUGCCCAAAAUACUUCUUAUAAAAGAUUGUACAGAGCAGCCAAAUUUGUAAAGUUCUAUCCUAAGUAAAAUAUUUUUAAUGACACAAAUUAAAAAAAUUAAAUGUCAAAUUUAUUGUGGUGUGUUUUUCCCCCUUUGACUCUAGACUCUAGCUUAUUAAAUUUUCAAAGGAAGAUUUGCUUUCAUUUGCAGCCAGAGAAUGAUUAGCAGAGCAACCAAGAUAAAAUUAUCUUAGUUCUUAUUUAAUCUUACUUUUUAAACUUUUUUAUACAUAUAAAAAAAUGCAAAAUAUGGACUGAUUAGUCCUUUUAGACUUGAUUGGUCGAAGGUGAAAUUUUAAGACUAAACGGUGAAUUUACAAGAUUGCUCGAAUGAUUUUAUUCCUAUUUGAGUGGAAAAUCAGCUAAGAGCUAUGAUUGGCUUGUGGUAAGGUGGUUGGCUUUAAUUAGUUGACUUGACUGACUUUUCGAACGAAGACAAGUGAGCAAGAAUAACCACACAUUUUCCCCAUGACAUAUAUAUGAGAAUUUCUAUGUGGAAAAAGCCAUAUAAAUCUUGGAGGUGAGUCCUGACAAAAAUAACUGCUCUAUUCCUCAUAGUUCCUAUCCUUGCUACACCCCUUGUAGAAAAAGCUUACCAUGCCACUCGGUAGGAGAUAGGGCAUACAUCUCCCUCAUCAUAUGUAUGCAUGCACGUCAAUAUAGGGUCAUGUGUAUCUCUUAAAUUGCAGGAUGAAGAUGAAUUCUUCGGUUUACAUUGAUGCUUUCCAUUGCACCAAUCGAUGUUCCUCUCCACGUUAUUUUGUUUCUUCAGUCAAAUUAUUCUCUGGUUAACAACUAAUGAAAAUGUAAGGAUAGAAUAUUCACGUAAUAUGUUACAUAAUUUAUACUAUAAUAUUUUAUCAUUGUUAACGGCACAAUUUGAUAAAAAGAUAAAAAAGAAAUCAUUUUAUUAUAUUAUGUGUAAAAUACAUGAAAAGAAAAGAUUACAAAUUUUAUUUGAUUACAUUACUGCAGAACUUACAAAAAUAAUUAUAGAAGCAUGGCUAAUGAUUAUAGGUAUUAUUUGGAUAGAUAUUUUUCUCAUUUUUCUUGUUUGACUGGUUGUAACUUGUCUUCAAAUUUUGAUAUCCACCAAAAAACUAUCCAAGAGCUUGAUUGUUUUAGAUAGUCAUUCAACAGCUUGACUGACUUUAUAUUUGUCUGUGCAACAAAUUUGAAAAUUUUUUUUAAAAAAGUCAAUAUUGAAUUUUAGACAUGCAUAAAUAGCAUAAUUUUUUAUUAUGCAGUGAAAAUAUAUGUAUAAAGUAUGAGGAAAGAUCUACUUAUACCGGUAUAAAAUUAAAUUAGUUUUACACUUUUUCAUGUCUUUUUAUUUCAUUUAUAUUUUGUUAAUCUAACCGUUCAUUUUAUGUUUUAUUCAUAUAAAUAUUCAUAGAUAGCAAAUUUCAAGUUAAUUGGAAAUGACUAACUACAUAUUUGAGAAAAAUAAAAUUUCAAUCAUUAAAUAUAUAUUGAAAAAAGGCAUUAUUCUCGGUUGAUGUAAUAAGAAUGUUGAAUUAAUAUGAGACUUUACGUGUAUGAUAAAUGCGAAUAAGUUGUUAAAUGUAAUGAUUCUAUUUGUUAAAAUAUUAAUUCCCUAAGAAGUUAUAGAAAAAUGUAAAGUACUUAGUUUUAGAGAUACAAGGCGAUUCCUCUUGGCCGGUAUAAAGUAUUGCUAUUUAGGCUUUUGUGUGCAAUUUUUUUUCAUAGCUAAUUGUUGUUGAAAGUGUGCAAUCUUUACUACUGUAUGCAUGUAAUAUUUUUGUCCAAAAUAUUAGCAAAAAAAAUGUUUUGAACUGUGAACUCCGUAAAAGUUCUAUACAAAAGGAUUUUAAACAACAAUAGUUAAAGAAAAAAAAUAAAUAAAUGAAAAUUUAAUUAUUAUAGUGUGUUUUUUCCACUUGUUCAAAGUAAGAUUUGAUUUCAAUUGCAGCCCUAGAUAUAAUCAGCAAAGCAAUGAAGCUAACAUUAUCCAAAGAUUUAAUGUUUCUCGUUAAACUUUUUUAUAUAUAAUUCUCCAAAGAAAAAUACAGUUUUAUACUUAAAAAAUAAAUGUAAAAUAUGAAAUUGAUCAAAUUUUUUCAGAAUUAUUAUUUUAUAUAUCUUGAAAUUUUGAAAUUCCAAAAUUUAUAAUAUUGUUUAAGUCAUAUUAUAUAUAUUAUUGAGGGUUUAUAGUAAUAUCCCUACUGUGUAGAUUUACUUGGAUGAAUUGCAAAGAUUUCUUUUCCAUCAGUGCCGCUACGUACCAAUUUGUUAGGUACACGGAUUUUCUUCUUUCUUGUUUGUUUGCGUGGAAAAUCAUCAAAAAGCUCUAUGACAGGCUUGUCGUUAAAGGUGUUUUGCGGGUUGGGUUUAAUUAGUUGACUGACUUUUCAAAAGAAGACUUGGUUUUAACAAUAAAUGUAAGAACUGCUUCACUUGCCUCUAUCAAAACGAGGACCUUAAUCUCCCACUGAAACUUUAGGAUGCUUAGCGUCAUACUUCCAUUACUUUGCCUCUUGGUUUGGCUUCAGUGCAAAUCUCCAAUCCAGUCGUUACAAAAAAAGACAAGUACUGUGGCUUUUCUUUCUGUGGAAACAUUAACAUCACUUACCCUUUUCGAUUAAAAAACCAGCCUCGUAGUUGUGGUUACAAUAGGUUUGAACUAGUGUGCCAGAAUAACCGCACCAUUUUCCCCAGGAAAUAUGGGAAUUUCUAUGUCCAACACAUCUCUUAUAGUGACGAAACCAGCCGACUUUUAGACGAGAGUCUUGGCAACGACAACUGCUCUAUUCCUCAUAGUACCUAUCCUCGGUCCACCCCUUCUGCAAAAAAACUAUAUCCCUGGCGUACCUUUUCAUGGGAAGAAAGAAAUUUCUAUCAAACUACCCCUGAAUUUAGCGUCAUGUAUCUCAUAAAUUGCACGAUGCAGAUCAACUACUCUUCCGUUUAUAUCGAUGCUUUUCGUUGCACCAAUACCCCUUCCUCCUCUCAACCUCCGUACUUUUACUUUUUGGAUGAAAAUACAGCACCGUCUGAUUUCCAUGAGUCAUGCACUGUUGAAGCCCAAGUUCCAAUCAUGGUUGCCAGUAUCAUCGGCCUCUCUACUUUUGAUAUUUACACAAAGCUGUUAACGGGAUUCCAACUCUCAUGGUUCACUUCCUCUUAUGAUUAUGUUUGGCUGCGGUGGGACUCAAUUGUUAACGUGUGAGGAUUUUUAAGUAUUCCGCAAUAUUUGGUGUUGUUUCGUUUUUGAAAAAUAUUUAUUAUUAUUAAUUUUUUUUGGAUCGUAAUAUUUAUUAUUUUUAGCAUACAUAAAUAUGAUAAAAAAACAAAUAUCAAAAUAUUUAGUUUUGAAUUCUUUUAAACUACUUUUUUAAUUAUGUGUAUAAAUUUGUAUCUAAAAUUUAAACUCGAUAUUUUAAUGUAAAAUUUAAAGAGAAGGAAUUAAGACAUUUUCAACACUAAAAGUGCGCAUAUCAUUUGCCUUAUUAAGGAUUAAUGGUUUUGAUGUGCUUUUUUGAAUAUUAAUUAUAGAUUGCUAUUCUUGCUCAAGCUGUGGUCGGUUCUGCCGAAGAUACUUGUACAAGGCAACAUAGCUUUUUUUGAACCAGAUUCUAUCGAUGGAUUUAGUAAAUGUAUUCUUUCGGUUCUGAGUUCAUUAAUAUUUUGAUUAUUAUUGGAUUUGCCUUUACUUUGAUAGAAUCUAUUUUCAUUUAUUUUCUGAUUUGGUAAUAUCUUUGCAGGAAUCCAGAUUCUUUGUGUUGCAAUAACAGGUACUAAAUUCUAUACUUAUUUAUUUACUCUUAAAUUCUACAAUUAUUAUAAUGUAUGACAUCAAUAAAUAUAUUAUUAUAUAAAUGGAUUAAAAAAUUAUUAAAUUAUUUAAAAAAUUCCUAAACUAUUUUACAACAAUUCCAAUAAGCUUUUCUUAAUUUUUAUUGCAUUCAAUCAAGCUAUUAUAUUUUUAUUUUGAACCAAAUAAACCCUUCUAAGUAACAGUUAACUAAUGUUAUUAGUUCAAAUGUCACUUGUUAUUUCAUACUCAUGUGACAUUGAUAUGAUGCUGACAUGGAGGAUGAAAAUGCCACAUAACCAUGUCAUAAUGCCAUAUACUCUGAUAUGUCAACAUAAUAUAUCCAUGUCAUAUGAUAUAAAAUAACAAAUGGUAUUUUGAUUAAUAACAGUUAGUUAACCAUUAGUUAUAAUGACUUAUUUGGUUCAAAAUAAAUGUUUAAGAGCUUGAUCAUACACAAUAAAAGAAUGAGAGUUUAUUUGAAUUUUUCUAAAUAGCUCAAGAAAUUUUUAAGUAUUAUGCAUUUUUGUGUGUGCGUGUGUGUAUAUGUACCAGUGUGAAAUUAAUUAAAUUUACACCUUUUCAUAUUUUUUAUAAGAUUUAUAUUUUGUUAAUUUAACCGGUGUAUUCCAUAUAUACUCAAUUUACAUAGAUCAUGCAUAAAAAAUUUUAAAUCAAUUGAAAAUAUCUAAUUAUUUGUAUAAUAAUAAUAAAAUUUUAACCAUUAAAUAUAUAUUUAAAAAACAAUAUUCUCUACCAAUGUGAUAUGGAUAUUGCACUGACUUGAAACUUUUUAUGUACGAUUGGAUGCAAAUAAAGUUAGCUUGCUAAAACUUAAUUGUAUAUGAAAUUAUAAAAUGGUGUAUAUAUAUAUAUAUAUAUGAGUAUUGCAUAUAUGUAUAUGUAUGUAUAAAGAGAUUCAAUAAAGGAUAAAAUAAUUAAAUAAGAGAAGAUCUACUAUAAAUUAUUCAUAAAUAAUAUUGAACUACAUUAAUUAGGUUUUUUUAGUAAGGUAUUUUUAUUUUGUUACGAUGUUUUUUGGUCAAAAUAAAAAUUAUGUCCAAAUUUAACAUUUUACUUUGGUGAUAGACCAAAUUAUGAUCAUAUUUAAAUGAGAAUAAUUGGCACUAUACUUUUAAAUUGGUUAAAAAUGAUCAAAAGUUAUGAAAUAAACUCAAAAGUACAAUAAUGAAAGUUACACUCAUUCAAAAAUGAAUAGUAAAUUUAAUCCAUCAUUUUUUUUAAAAGGUGAAUUUUUAUUAACCUCAACACUAUCAUGCCAUUUUGAUUCUCAAGCUUAGAUUGCAAGAGACUCUCAUGACAUAAAUAGUUAGUAAGCAGCCUGUACAAUUUCCAAAAAGAAUAUGCUACUCAAUAAGAUUUUGGUAGCAACUCAGGAUAAAGAAACUAACGUACCUUAAGCAGAUUGGUGGUAAAUUUGAACCUUAUCUCAAAUUAUUCUAUGAAGUUUGUUUGUGAAAAUAUGGCAGCUAGCACAUGCCCAAAUUAAAGUUGUAAAUAACAUAUACAUGUUCUAUAAUCAUGUUUUCCAACUAAUUGAUUUACAUAUUGUUUUGUAUUUUUUUUUUUUUGAGAAACAGGAAUUCUUUUGCUAAGAACUUUUUUGGGAAUAAUUUGCUUGAUUGUGCUGGUUAGACGAAAAUUAAAAAGGAGGCAUUUGUCGAUGGAUGACGUGAUUGAGAAUUUUCUUCAGAGUCAAAACAAUUUAAUGCCUAUAAGAUAUUCUUACUCUGAAAUAAAAAGAAUGACUGAUGGUUUCAAGAAUAAACUUGGUCAAUGAGGAUAUGGCUCUGUGUUUAAAGGAAAACUUUGACGUGGUCAACUUGUUGCGAUAAAAUUGUUAAACAAGUCAAAAGCUAACGGCCAAGAUUUCAUCAAUGAAGUUGCAACUAUUGGAAGGAUUCAUCAUGUUAAUGUGGUAAGACUUAUUGGAUUUUGCGUGAAGGGAUCAAAACAAGCUCUUGUAUAUGACUUCAUGAAGAAUGGGUCCUUGG